CCUACGGGGGGCUGCAGUGAGGAAUAUUGGUCAAUGGACGCGAGUCUGAACCAGCCAAGUCGCGUGCAGGAUGACUGCCCUAUGGGUUGUAAACUUCUUUUAUAUGGGAAUAAACUCUUCCACGUGUGGGAUUUUGUAUGUACCAUAUGAAUAAGGAUCGGCUAACUCCGUGCCAGCAGCCGCGGUAAUACGGAGGAUCCGAGCGUUAUCCGGAUUUAUUGGGUUUAAAGGGAGCGUAGGUGGAUUGUUAAGUCAGUGGUGAAAUUUUGCGGCUCAACCGUAAAAUUGCAGGUGAUACUGGCAGUCUUGAGUACAGUAGAGGUGGGCGGAAUGCGUGGUGUAGCGGUGAAAUGCUUAGAGAUCACGAAGAACACCGAUUGCGAAGGCAGCUCACCGGACUGCAACUGACACUGAGGCUCGAAAGUGUGGGUAUCAAACAGGAUUAGAUACCCCUGUAGUC
rnacentral:rRNA from 1 species